GUCCUUAUUGAUGACGGUGAGAUGGCAUCUUACAUACUUAAUGGUCUUGAUUUCGAAUAUAAUCCAUUUGUGUCCUCGAUGCUUGGCCGUGCCGAUUCCCUCUCUCUUUCCGAUCUAUACUCUCAUCUGUUGUCUUAUGAGA
rfam:Setaria italica strain Yugu1 chromosome VIII, whole genome shotgun sequence.